rnacentral:rRNA from 1 species
CACGUAGGGGGCGAGCGUUGUCCGGAUUUAUUGGGCGUAAAGAGCUCGUAGGCGGCUCAGUAAGUCGGGUGUGAAACCCCCGGGCUCAACCCGGGGACGCCACCCGAUACUGCUGUGGCUGGAGUCCGGUAGGGGAGCGUGGAAUUCCUGGUGUAGCGGUGAAAUGCGCAGAUAUCAGGAAGAACACCCGUGGCUAAGGCGGCUCUCUAGUACGGUACUGACGCUGAGACGCGAAAGCGUGGGGAGCGAACAGG